GGCUUCGGGGCUCUUACUUCUUUUUGUCAGUCAUUCUUUGAGGUUCUCUUCCAUUUCCAUGCAUGUACACAAAGAGUAAGAAUUUCAGGUUGUAUACUGUAUACAUUUUCGGAUGUUAAAUGGAACCAUUGAACACAAGAGAUUCAGCAGAAGAAGCAUAAAAAUAUAGAAAACCUACAGCACAAUACAGGCCCUUCGGCCCACAAAGUGGUGCUGAACAUGUCCCUACCUUAUAAAUUACUAGGCUUACCCAUAGCCCUCUAUUUUUCUAAGCUCCAUGUACCUAUCCAAAAGUCUAUUAAAAGACCUUAUUGUAUCCGCCUCCACCACUGUUGCCGGCAGCCCAUUCCACACACUCACCACUCUCUGAGUAAAAAGCUUACCUCAACUAGAGAGCAGGCCAUUCUAGAUUGGGCAUUGAGCAAUGAGGAAGGGUUAGUUAGCAAUCUUCUCAUGGGAGGCCCCUUGGGUAAGAGUGACCAUAAUAUGGUGGAAUUCUUCAGUAAGAUGGAGAGUGACAUAGUUAAUUCAGAAACAAAGGUUCUGAACUUAAAGAAGGGUAACUUUAAAGGUAUGAGACGUGAGCUAGCUAAGACAGACUGGCAAAUGAUACUUAAUGGUUUGACGGUGGAUAUGCAAUGGCAAGCAUUUAAAGAUUGCAUGGGUGAACUACAACAAGUGUUCAUCCCAGUUUGGUAAAAGAAUAAACCAGGGAAGGUAGUGCACCCAUGGCUGACGAGGGAAAUUAGGGAUAGUAUCAAUUCCAAGGAAGAAACAUACAAGUUAGCCAGAAAAAGCGGCACACCUGAGGACUGGGAGAAAUUUAGAGUCCAGCAGAGGAGGACAAAGGGCUUAAUUAGGAAAGGGAAAAAAAAUAAUGAGAGAAAGCUGGCAGGGAACAUACAAACUGACUGUAAAAGCUUUUACAGAUAUGUGAAAAGAAAAAGAUUGGUUAAGGCAAAUGUAGGUCCCUUACAGUCAGAAACAGGUGAUUUGAUCAUGGGGAAUAUGGACAUGGCAGACCAAUUGAAUAACUACUUUGGUUCUGUCUUCACUAAGGAGGACAUAAAUAAUUUUCCAGAAAUAGUAGGGGACCGAGGGUCUAGUGAGAUGGAGGAACUGAGGGAAAUACAUGUUAGUAGGGAAGUGGUGUUAGGUAAGUUGAAGUGAUUAAAGGCAGAUAAAUCCCCAGGGCCAGAUGGUCUGCAUCCCAGGGUGCUUAAGGAAGUAGCCCAAGAAAUAGUGGAUGCAUUAGUGAUAAUUUUUCAAAACUCCUUCAAUUCUGGAUUAGUUCCUGAGGAUUGGAGAGUGACUAAUGUAACCCCACUUUUUGAAAAAGGAGGGAGAGAGAAACCGGGGAAUUAUAGACUGGUUAGCCUGACAUCGGUGCUGGGGAAAAUGCUAGAGUCGGUUACCAAAGAUGUGAUAAUAGCACAUUUGGAAAGAGGUGAAAUCAUCGGACAAAGUCAGCAUGGAUUUGUGAAAGGAAAAUCAUGUCUGAUGAAUCUUAUAGAAUUUUUUGAAGAUGUAACUGGUAGAGUGGAUAGGGGAGAACCAGUGGAUGUGGUAUAUUUAGAUUUUCAAAAGGCUUUUGACAAGGUCCCACACAGGAGAUUAGUGUGCAAACUUAAAGCACACAGUAUUGGGGGUAUGGUAUUGAUGUGGAUAGAGAAUUGGUUGGCAGACAGGAAGCAAAGAGUGGGAGUAAAUGGGACCUUUUCAGAAUGGCAGGCAGUGACUAGCGGGGUACCAGAAGGCUCAGCGCUGGGACCCCAGUUGUUUACAAUAUAUAUUAAUGAUUUAGACAAGGCAAUUAAAUGCAGCAUCUCCAAGUUUGCAGAUGACACGAAGCUGGGCAGCGGUGUUAGCUGUGAGGAGGAUGCUAAGAGGAUGCAGGGUGACUUGGAUAGGUUAGGUGAGUGGGCAAAUUCAUGGCAGAUGCAAUUUAAUGUGGAUAAAUGUGAGGUUAUCCACUUUGGUUGCAAGAACAAAAAAAAAGAUUAUUAUCUGAACGGUGGCCGAUUAGGAAAAGGGGAGGUGCAAUGAGUCCUGGGUGUCAUUGUACACCAGUCAUUGAAGGUGGGCAUGCAGGUACAGCAGGCAGUGAAAAAAGCAAAUGGUAUGUUGGCAUUCAUAGCAAGGGGAUUCGAGUACCGGAGCAGGGAGGUUCUACUGCAGCUGUACAAGGCUUUGGUGAGACCACAGCUGGAGUAUUGUGCGCAGUUUUGGUCCCCUAAUCUGAGGAAAGACAUUCUUGCCAUAGAGGGAGUACAAAGAAGGUUCACCAGAUUGAUUCCUGGGAUGGCAGGACUUUCAUAUGAAGAAAGACUGGAUCGACUAGGCUUAUACUCGCUGGAAUUUAGAAGAUUGUGGGGGGGUGGAGGAUCUUAUUGAGACAUAUAAAAUUCUAAAGGGAUUGGACAGUCUAGAUGCAGGAAGAUUGUUUCCAGUGUUGGGGGGAGUCCAGAAUGAUGGGUCACAGUUUAAGGAUAAAGGGGAAGCCUUUUAGGACCGAGUUGAGGAAAAACUUCUUCACACAGAGAGUGGUGAAUCUGUGGAAUUCUCUGCCACAGAAAACAGUUGAGGCCAGUUCAUUGGCUAUAUUUAAGAGGAAGUUAGAUAUGGACCUUGUGGCUAAAGGGAUCGGGGGUAUGAAGAGAAAGCAGGCACAGGGUUCUGAGUUGGAUGAUCAGCCAUGAUCAUACUGAAUGGCGGUGCAGGCUCGAAGGGCUGAAUGGCCUACUCUUGCACCUAUUUUCUGUGUUUUCUAUGUGUCUAUGACAUUUCCUCUGUACUUGCUCCCCAUCACCUUAAACCUGUGUCCUCUUGUGGCAACCAUUUCAGCCCUGGGAAAAAGCCUCUGACUAUCCACACGAUCAAUGCUUCUCAUCAUCUCAUACACCACUAUCAGGUCACUUCUCAUUCUCCGUCGCUCCAAGGAGUAAAGGCCGAGUUCACUCAACCUAUUUUCAUAAGACGUGCUCCCCAGUUCAGGCAACAUCCUUGUAAAUUUCCUCGGCACUCUUUCUAUGGCUUCCACAUCCUUAGGCGACCAGAACUGAGCACAGAAGCUGGAAAUCUAGACCAAAGUACAAAAAAUGCUGGAGGAAUUUAGCAAGUCAGGCCAAGUCAGAGACCCUGUUCUGAUGAAGGGUCUCAGACCGAAGCAUCAACUGUCUAUUCCCCUUUGUAGAUGCUGCCAGAAUUGCUGAGUUCCUCCAGCAUUUUAUUUGUGCUCCUCUAUUAUGAUGAUUGGGUCAUUUUCAAUUAAAAAUGUACAUGCUAACAUGGCUACUAUUGUUAGGACAAAGUGAAUUACCACAGUGGCCAAAAUUGACAGUGUUAUUGUGCCCAGUUUUGCCCCACUCACUAUAAUGGGUGAACAUUUCCCUCAACUCCUGGCACUUAAAUCAGCCUGAGCCCGUACUUGGAAUUUCACAGAUGUACAAAUCAUUCCAUACUCACCAGUCCUGAAGUAAAUUAAACCAGUCAAAGAUGCUAUAUUUCUGUAAAAUACUUUUUUAAAAAAAACCUUCUGAGGUUUUAUAAGGAGCUAUAUAAAUACAAGUUUCUUUUCUCUUGUUUACCUGACAAUUAUCUGGGGGUUUUAAAAGUAUUAAAUCUUAUUGAACCCCAAAAAUAUCAAAGCUUAUUAACUUCAAUUGCAUUUGAAGUGAACAACCUUGUUUUCCUGUCAAUAAUUAUUCAGGCAUAAUUUUUAAAACAACCCUCAAACUAUACAGAACUGUGAACAUCCUAUCACACUGCUGAGAUGGUAAGAGAUUAAACAAUACCUGGUUUUAUUCUGCUGCCAUGUAAUUUUCCAUUUACUUUGUACUUGUAUUUAAAUUUUAAAUACAGGAAACACUGGGGAGGAUUUUAACUCUUGUGAAGUAUAACAAGUAUUACAAUUAAAACAUAACAUUGACCUGAGCAUUUCUGUCAUUUGGUAAUUAUAUGUAAAUUAGGCCCUAGUAUUGGGUAGGACACCUAAGAUAUUUUAAUGUCCUAUUACUUAUAGCAAAAUAUAUUCCACCCAGCAGAAACAGAGACCGAUAGGGACUUAAAAGUCAUUGAUGAGAAUCUAGCAAGCAUUGCCUGAGAGACUAUUUCAGCAAUGCUGCUCAGAGAGCACACUUUAUUGAGACUGAUUGAUAUCUAUGGCAGCACCUCACAACCACUCCAUGGGCACAAUUUCCAGCUUUCCACUUGGGAAUUGAAAUUUGCCUGCCUACUUAUUGCAGUCUUUCCCUCUCACUCCCAGUGCCGACGGAAGGUCGCAGCACUUCCGUUUUGUUUCUCCCUGGGAGAAUUUUGCUUCAAUCUGCAAAGUGUCAGGGGCAGUACAAAUUGGCUACUGAAUUAAGAUUGUUGUCCUUUCCUUUAAUCUGGACUGGAGAUUAAAUUAACAUUCGAUAUCUCUCCCCAGAGAUAAACAAAGCCACGUCCAUUCAAUAUCACCUGUGAAUUCUGGCACAUUUGUUGUUCUAAGUUCUGGGAUCUACAUAAUGUAAGGAUGCAAUUUGCACAAGGCCCAUAACCAUUCUGCAAUCAUUGUUCCACUGAGAAGUAGAAUUUCCAGGCCAAUGUCUCAGCUGAAAUCAGAAUCUACAAAUGUGCAUCAGGUCAAAUAUCAAAUUGCUUGUUGUUGGAGGAGGAUGAGAGGUGACUUGAUCGAUGUGUACAAGAUAAGAGGCAUAGAUAAAGUGGACAGCCAGGCACUUUCUCCCUGAGCAGAAAUAAUUAGUACCAAAGGGCAUGAUUUUAGGAUGAUUGGAGGCAAAUAUAGGGGGAAUGUCAGAGGUAAAUUCUUUACACAGAGAGGUGGGUGCAUGGAACACCCUGCCAAAUACAUUGGGGGCAUUUAAGAAACUCUUUUACACAUGGAUGCUAGAAAAACUAAAAGCUAUGUAAGAGGGAAAAGUGAUACUGAUCUUAGAGCAGGUUAAAAGAUCAUCACAACAUAAUGGACCAAAGGGCCCAUACUGUGCUAUAAAGUUCUACGUUUACGUUGACAGAAUUCGAUGGCACAGUAGCACGAUGGUUAGCACAACGCUUUGCAGUAUCAGUGACCCGGAUUCAAUUCCUGCUGCUACCAGUGAGAAGCUUGUACAUUCUUCUCAUGACCACGUGGGUUUUCUCUGGGUGCACCAGUUUUCCUCCCGCAGUCCAAAGAUAUAACAUUCAUGGGUUAGUUAGUCAUUGUAAUUCGUCCUUGAUUCGGCUGGGGUUAGGUUGGGCAUUGCCGGGCAGCACGGCUCGAAGGGCAGAAGGGCCUGCUCCCUGCCAUAUCUCAAAGAAGAAGAAAGGAUUGAAGGUACAAAGAAGAUCUCCAACUACUCUACCCACUCAUCUCAGCUUCGCCACAAUUGCGGUCAUUUGGACAAAUUACCACUAUUAAUCAGUGCAACUAUUUCUAACCUAUAUCCUUCUCUUUUUUCUUUUAAUGCAAUAAUCUGGCUCUGCAUAGGUUGAUGCAUUAUCAGCAAAUUAAGAAAGAUGAAAUUGAUAUCAAAUCAGAAGUCUUAAUGAGCAGAAGAUGACAGCAAGUCAGCUUCAUUGCCUCGUGCAGAAGGGCUAACCUAGCACAGGAUCUGUGUUCUUGCAGAAGACCCAACACAAACUGAUGCUUAUUUUGGUGAACUCAAGUAUUUCCAGACUGAACAGCUGACAAAAACCAAUGAAUUAAACAUUGAACAAGGUUGUAAGAGACCACUUGAAGAAGAGAUAUAACGAGGCUAAGUGGCUUAAGGAGGCAUUACUGAGGUUAGGGCAUUAGCCGUUGAAGACUUGGUGCUUGUGACAAAAUAAUAAAUACGCAGGAAGCAAAAUGUGGAUGAAUUGUUGGAGACUUUGGAGAUGGAAGCACAGGAGAUUUGAAAACUGAUGAAAUUUUAAAUUAAGGCAUUUCUUCAUCAGGAGUUAAUGUAGACCUGCAAUCAGAGAGAUAAUCGUUGAUUUCAUUCAAAGCAGAGAUGAUAGAUUUCAGAGCAUUAAGCAAAAUGGCUAUGGAGCUGAUGAAGAACAGAGCAGACUCAGAGAACUGGAGGGUCUGUUCCUUCUCCUAUUUGUUAUGUUCUUACCUUAAGUGUAAAAAGGACGAUUCGAGUUGAGACAUCAGUUGAGUUUGAGGGUCUUCAAGAUAAGAAACAGCCGAAUGAACUGGCCAUCCAGGAGUGCAAUAGAUUGCUAAAAUCUAAAGUUAACAAUGCAACAACUGAUGGUUUCAGCAACAGAUGAGCUAAUGUAGGGGCUCAGCUCAGGCAUAUUAUAGAAAUAGAAGUAGCCUUGUUCAGUAACAGCACAGGCAAUGUAGUCAGUAGCUCAUCUCUGGAUCAGACAUGACCUAGUUCCGUUUCAGAGAACUGCCAGAGAGAGGGUUGGAGUCAGCAUUUAAGGUCUAUUACUUGUGGAGAACAUCAACAGCAAUAGCUUGAAUCUUCCAAUAGUUAGCUGGGGAAAAUUUCUACACACCCAGUGCCAGAUACCAGAUCAUUGACAUAUUACAUGCAGAGAGGUGGCAGAUAUCAUUGAAGUAAAAUUACAUUUUCAGUUAAUGGGGUAGAUGGGCUAUUGGGGUGGGCUUUGGGUGUAGCUUUAGGGAGCGUAACCAUUGCAGAUGAUCCCCUGCCUCUGACUGCAGAGAUCAAAAUGGAACCAGGCAAGUACAAUUCCAUGCAGCUGAACCACACAGGCACAUUGUUCUGGGCAGUUACAUUAAAGACUUCAGACAAGCUGAGAGGAACAAAGAGGAAGAACCUCCUUUUAUCGUAAUCAAGAAAGAUUUCAUUAGUGGCGUUCAUAACGAACGUUUUACAACUCUGACAAGGUGGAAAGUUAAUUGUAGGGAUUCAGACAAGGUCUUAAGCGAAGGCGAAAUACAUAAUAUAGCUUCAUUAUCCACCUUAUAAAGGAAUAAAGCCACUGUCUAAUUUUAGUUGACUGGCACUGGGCCCACGGCUGAAAUUAAUAACAAUAAUAUGAAAAAUUAGUGAAGUAGGCAUGAGAUGAAAACUGUGAGCUCUGGAUGACUGGCACCAGUUAGGAGAAAACUUUAACCAUCUCUCUCAAUCUCACAUCCACAAUGCUAUUGCAGCUCGGGGAGUCAGAGUGCAGAGUUCAAUUCCACCAUCCUCUGUGAGAAAACUUGCACGUCCUUCCCGUGAGUUCAGGGGUUUCCUCCGAGUGCUACAGUUUCCUCCCACAGUCCAAAGACCUAUCGGGAGACCACAGUCUGUAUGGAUCACAAAUACUAUCUCCUCCUCGCUGACAAUCAACACUGGUGCAGCUCACGGAUGCGUCUCUAUCCCGCUGCUCUGCUCCCUCUACAUCCACAGCUGUGGCAAGGCACAACACAAAUGGCGUUUGUAAAUUUGGUGUGACACAUCUAUUGUUGGCAAAAUUUCAGAUGGUGAAUACAGGAGCAAGAUAGAUCAGCUGGUUGAGUGGUAUCACAACAACAGCCUUGCAUCAAAUUCAGUAGGACCAAGUAAUUGAAUAUGGAUUUCAAGAAGGGGAAGUCAAGGAAGACACAUCAGUCAUUAUCGAGGGAUUAGUGGAAAGGGUGAGCAAUUUCUUGUGUGUCAACAUCUCUGAAGAUCUAUUCUGGGUCCAACAUAUUGAUGCAAUUACAAACAAGACACGACAGUGGUUAUAUUUCAUUAGGAGUUUGAGGAGACUCGGGGUGUCUCCAAAGACUCUGGCAAAUUUCUCCAGGUGUACCAUGAAGAGUAUUCUAACUGGUUGUAUCACAGUCUGGUAUGGAGGGGUGCACUGCACAGGAUUGGAAAAAGCUACAGGAAAUUAUAAACUCAGCCAGCUCCACCAGGGGCACCAGCCUCCCCAGCAUCGAGGAUACCUUCAAAAUGCGAUGCCUCAAAACGGUGGCUUCCAUCAUUAAGGACCCCCAUCACCCAGGACAUGUCUGCUUCUCAUUACUACCAUCAAGGAGGAGGUGCAGGAGCCUGAAGACACACACUCAAUGGAUAACGAACCCAAGAACACUACCUCACUCUAUUCUGUAUUGCAAUGUACUGCUGACACAAACCUACAAAUUUCCCAACAAAUGCCAGUGAUAUUAAACCUGAUUCUGUCUACACAACUACAACUACACAAGCAGCCAACAAAAUAUUUCAAAAUACUUGUGAAUAAUAAUGGGAUGACUUUGAAUAUUUUUAAAGUUAAGGGGAAAAAUGCAAGCUUUGCAUUAGAAUUCUCCUUAGAGUACUUGGCCUUUAGUUGAUGGAUGCUGGGGAGAUAAAUGAGUAAGACUUGCCGAAUCACUCCAGAACCAAUGGCUACAGGAAGCAUCUCAACCAACUCCACUAUAGACAGUGACAGGUCUGCACACUCAACUGAGCACUCCUCUUAAGUUAUCUGAACUCAGAAAUUCACCAGAAUGUCUGUAAAAUGAGCAUCCGGUGAUCUAAGAUUUUCUCUCAGCACUGACUUGUAAGUUUGAUGCAACAUUCUCUACUUAUCCAGCUGAAGAUGAUUCCAGCAACACUCAAGACUAUACACAGGAGAGCAUCUGAUUGGCACCCUAUCCAGAAUCUUAAGCAUUCAUGCCCCACCACUGUCUGCACCGUAUACUGUUUACAAAAUGCACUGUAGUUGCACUUCCUAAAUACAUGCUCUCUACCACAAAGAAGAUCGGGCAGGUGCAUGGAAAUCCCACCAUGUGCAGUUCCAAGCCACACAACAACCUGAUUUGUGCCAUAUGUUUCCUAAAAGGACUUUGAACCCAUGAACACUACCUCACCUUUUUAGUAUAUAUUAUUUAUGUUUUAGUACUAUUUUUUAAUCUAUUCAAUAUACAUAUAUGUACUGA